UAGGCACGUGCACGCUUUCUUUCUGGACUUUGGUCGUAUGGGCGCGGAGGGUCAACCUCUGCGUCUUCAUAUGCCCCUCUUCGUGUAGAAAGUCUUUGAAUGUUUUUACUAUCAUCGAGUCGCGACUUCUAGGAGAUGCGAUUCUUUGAGACAAAAGUUAUUACAACUUUCAGCAAUGGAUCUCUUGGCUCUCGCAUCGAUGAAGAACGCAGCGAAUAGCGAUAUGUAAUGUGAAUUGCAGAUCUACAGUGAAUCAUCGAAUCUUUGAACGCACCUUGCGCUCCUCGGUGUUCCGAGGAGCAUGCCUGUUUGAGCGUCAGUAAAUUCUCAACUCCUCUCGAUUGACUUCGAGUGGAGCUUGGAUAGUGGGGGCUGCCGGAGACCUGAAUAUUCGUGUUCGGGACUCGGGCUCCUCUGAAAUGUAUUGGCUUGCGGUCUGUUUUCGACUUUGCAUGACAAGGCUUUUGGCGUGAUAAUGAUCGCCGCUCGCCGAAGUGCAUGAAUGAAACCGUGCCGUGCCUCUAAUCCGUCGAUGCCUCUAU
rnacentral:rRNA from 1 species